GAACCACUAAGAACUGGCUCCUUGAGCU
rnacentral:piRNA from 1 species